rnacentral:rRNA from 1 species
AUUGAACGCUGGCGGCAGGCCUAACACAUGCAAGUCGAGCGGAUGAAGGGAGCUUGCUCCUGGAUUCAGCGGCGGACGGGUGAGUAAUGCCUAGGAAUCUGCCUGGUAGUGGGGGAUAACGUCCGGAAACGGGCGCUAAUACCGCAUACGUCCUGAGGGAGAAAGUGGGGGAUCUUCGGACCUCACGCUAUCAGAUGAGCCUAGGUCGGAUUAGCUAGUUGGUGGGGUAAAGGCCUACCAAGGCGACGAUCCGUAACUGGUCUGAGAGGAUGAUCAGUCACACUGGAACUGAGACACGGUCCAGACUCCUACGGGAGGCAGCAGUGGGGAAUAUUGGACAAUGGGCAAAAGCCUGAUCCAGCCAUGCCGCGUGUGUGAAGAAGGUCUUCGGAUUGUAAA